rnacentral:rRNA from 1 species
GAUAAACGCUGGCGGCGUGCUUAACACAUGCAAGUCGAACGAAGUUUUUCCUUCGGGAGAAACUUAGUGGCGGACGGGUGAGUAACGCGUGGGUAACCUGCCCUGUACAGGGGGACAACAGCUGGAAACGGCUGCUAAUACCGCAUAAGCACUUAGCACUGCAUGGUGCAUAGGGAAAAGGAGCAAUCCGGUACAGGAUGGACCCGCGUCUGAUUAGCCAGUUGGCAGGGUAACGGCCUACCAAAGCGACGAUCAGUAGCCGAUCUGAGAGGAUGUACGGCCACAUUGGGACUGAGACACGGCCCAGACUCCUACGGGAGGCAGCAGUGGGGAAUAUUGCACAAUGGAGGAAACUCUGAUGCAGCGACGCCGCGUGAGUGAAGAAGUAUUUCGGUAUGUAAAGCUCUAUCAGCAGGGAAGAAAAUGACGGUACCUGACUAGGAAGCACCGGCUAAAUACGUG